rnacentral:rRNA from 1 species
CCACGGUUUCUGCGACGCAGCUAACGCAUUAAGUGCCCCGCCUGGGGAGUACGAUCGCAAGAUUAAAACUCAAAGGAAUUGACGGGGCCCCGCACAAGCAGCGGAGCAUGCGGCUUAAUUCGACGCAACGCGAAGAACCUUACCAAGGCUUGACAUAUACAGGAAUAUGGCAGAAAUGUCAUAGCCGCAAGGUCUGUAUACAGGUGGUGCAUGGUUGUCGUCAGCUCGUGUCGUGAGAUGUUGGGUUAAGUCCCGCAACGAGCGCAACCCUCGUUCUGUGUUGCCAGCAUUUAGUUGGGGACUCACAGGAGACUGCCGGGGUUAACUCGGAGGAAGGUGGGGAUGACGUCAAAUCAUCAUGCCCCUUAUGUCUUGGGCUGCACGCAUGCUACAAUGGCUGGUACAAACGGCUGCGAUACCGCAAGGUGGAGCGAAUCCGAUAAAGCCAGUCUCAGUUCGGAUUGGGGUCUGCAACUCGACCCCAUGAAGUCGGAGUUGCUAGUAAUCGUAGAUCAGCAACGCUACGGUGAAUACGUUCCCGGGGCUUGUACACACCGCCCGUCACGUCACGAAAGUCGGUAACACCCGAAGUCAGUGGCCCCAACGUAAGGGGGGAGCUGCCGAAG